rnacentral:rRNA from 1 species
AUUGAACGCUGGCGGCAUGCCUAACACAUGCAAGUCGAACGGCAGCACGGACUAGUUUACUAGUUGGGUGGCGAGUGGCGAACGGGUGAGUAACGCGUAGGAAUAUACCUUAAAGACUGGGACAACCUGGGGAAACUCAGGCUAAUACCGGAUAAGCUCCGAGGAGGAAAGCUGGGGACCGCAAGGCCUGGCGCUUUAAGAAUAGCCUGCGUGCGAUUAGCUAGUUGGUAGGGUAAAUGCCUACCAAGGCGACGAUCGGUAGCUGGUCUGAGAGGAUAGACCGCCAAACUGGGACAGAGACACGGCCCAGGAUCCUGCGGGAGGCAGGAGUGGGGAAUAUUGGACAAUGGGGGCAACCCUGAUCCAGCAAUGCCGCGUGUGUGAAGAAGGCCUGAGGGUUGUAAAGCACUUUCGGUGGGGAGGAGGUUGCUUAGGUUAAGAGCUAGAGUGAUGGACGUUACCCGCAUAAGAAGCACCGGCUAACUCCGUGCCAGCCGCCGCCGUAA